rnacentral:rRNA from 1 species
AGAGAGAAUGCCGGUAUGAGUAGCGAGAAUAAAGUGAGAAUCUUUAUCGUCGAAAGCCUAAGGUUUCCUGGGGAAGGUUCGUCCGCCCAGGGUAAGUCGGGACCUAAGCCGAGGGCGAGUGCCGUAGGCGAUGGACAACUGGUUGAGAUUCCAGUACCACUUUAGAAGCGUUUGACUGAUGCAGUGACACAGAAGGAUAGGCAAAGCGGGCUGAUGGUAGUGCCCGUCCAAGCACUAAGGCAGGUGGCGUAGUGAAGUACGCGCCGCUAUAUGCCAAGGUGUGAUGGGGACAGAAAAUAAGUAUGGAAGUUGCCGAAUUCACGCUGGCGAGAAAAGCUGCUAAAGGAGUUUUUAGAGUGCCCGUACCGCAAACCGACACAGGUAGGCGAGGUGAGAAACCUAAGACGAGCGGGAUAACCCUUGUUAAGGAACUCGGCAAAAUGACCCCGUAACUUCGGGAAAAGGGGAGCCCUGGAAACAGGGCCGCAGUGAAUAGGCUCAAGCGACUGUUUAGCAAAAACACAGGUCUGUGCGAACUCGAGAGAGGACGUAUACGGGCUGACGCCUGCCCAGUGCCGGAAGGUUAAGGGGAAGUGUUAGCGUAAGCGAAGCACGGAACUUAAGCCCCGGUGAACGGCGGCCGUAACUAUAACGGUCCUAAGGUAGCGAAAUUCCUUGUCAGGUAAGUUCUGACCCGCACGAAUGGCGUAACGACUUGAGCGCUGUCUCAACAAGGGACCCGGCGAAAUUGUAGUAUGGGUGAAGAUGCCCAUUACCCGCGAUAGGACGGAAAGACCCCGUAGAGCUUUACUGCAACUUGGCAUUGAAUCUUGGCAAUAGAUGUACAGGAUAGGUGGGAGACAGAGAAGCAAGGACGUCAGUCUUUGUGGAGUCAACCUUGGGAUACCACCCUUCUAUUGCUGGGGUUCUAACGGCGUGCGGUGAUCCCGGCGCUGGACAUUGCCAGGUGGGCAGUUUGACUGGGGCGGUCGCCUCCCAAAGAGUAACGGAGGCGCCCAAAGGUUCCCUCAGAAUGGUUGGAAAUCAUUCGUAAGAGUGCAAAGGCAGAAGGGAGCCUGACUGCGAGAGAGACAUCUCGAGCAGGGACGAAAGUCGGGCUUAGUGAUCCGGCGGUAUGAGAGUGGAAUUGCCGUCGCUCAACGGAUAAAAGCUACCUCGGGGAUAACAGGCUUAUCUCCCCCAAGAGUCCACAUCGACGGGGAGGUUUGGCACCUCGAUGUCGGCUCGUCGCAUCCUGGGGCUGAAGUAGGUCCCAAGGGUUUGGCUGUUCGCCAAUUAAAGCGGCACGCGAGCUGGGUUCAGAACGUCGCGAGACAGUUCGGUCCCUAUCCAUCGUGGGCGUUGGAGAUUUGAAGGGAGCUGUCCUUAGUACGAGAGGACCGGGAUGGACAGACCUCUGGUGUACCAGUUGUCCUGCCAAGGGCACUGCUGGGUAGCCAAGUUUGGAAAGGAUAAACGCUGAAAGCAUCUAAGCGUGAAGCCCCCCCUAAGAUAAGAUCUCCUUAUCAGACCCCUUGUAGACGACAAGGUUGAUAGGCUGGAGGUGGAAGUGCAGUAAUGCAUGCAGCUGACCAGUACUAAUCGGUCGAAAGCUUGAUUUC